rnacentral:rRNA from 1 species
GGGGAGUCGCACGAGCGCACCCUUACUGUUAGUUGCUACCCAUGAGCACUCUAACAGGACUGCCGUUGACAAAACGGAGGAAGGUGGGGACGACGUCAAAUCAUCAUGCCCCUUAUGACCUGGGCUACACACGUACUACAAUGGCCAUUAACAAAGAGAAGCGAGACCGCGAGGUGGAGCGAACCUAUAAAAAUGGUCUCAGUUCGGAUUGUAGGCUGAAACCCGCCUACAUGAAGCUGGAAUUGCUAGUAAUCGCGGAUCAUAAUGCCGCGGUGAAUACGUU